rnacentral:rRNA from 1 species
AUUGAACGCUGGCGGCAGGCCUAACACAUGCAAGUCGAGCGAGCGGCUGACGGGUGAGUAAUGUAUGGGGAUCUGCCCGAUAGAGGGGGAUAACUACUGGAAACGGUGGCUAAUACCGCAUACUAUCGGAUGCACCAAGAUGUGCUUAGCUAGUCGGUGGGGUAAAGGCUCACCUAGGCGACGAUCGCUAGCUGGGCUGAGAGGAUGAUCAGCCACACGGGGACUGAGAAACGGCCCAGACUCCUACGGGAGGCAGCAGUGGGGAAUAUUGCACAAUGGGCGCAAGCCUGAGGCAGCCAGGCCGCGUGUAUGAAGAAGGCCUUAGGGUUGUAAAGUACUGUCAGCGGGGAGGCGUUACCCGCAGAAGAAGCACCGGCUAACUCCGUGCCAGCAGCCGCGGUAAUAC